rnacentral:rRNA from 1 species
GACGAACGCUGGCGGCGUGCUUAACACAUGCAAGUCGAACGGAAAGGCCCUGCUUUUGUGGGGUGCUCGAGUGGCGAACGGGUGAGUAACACGUGAGUAACCUGCCCUUGACUUUGGGAUAACUUCAGGAAACUGGGGCUAAUACCGGAUAGGAGCUCCUGCUGCAUGGUGGGGGUUGGAAAGUUUCGGCGGUUGGGGAUGGACUCGCGGCUUAUCAGCUUGUUGGUGGGGUAGUGGCUUACCAAGGCUUUGACGGGUAGCCGGCCUGAGAGGGUGACCGGCCACAUGGGGACUGAGUUACGGCCCAGACUCCUACGGGAGGCAGCAGUGGGGAAUAUUGCACAAUGGGCGGAAGCCUGAUGCAGCAACGCCGCGUGCGGGAUGACGGCCUUCGGGUUGUAAACCGCUUUCGCCUGUGACGAAGCGUGAGUGACGGUAAUGGGUAAAGAAGCACCGGCUAACUACGUG